rnacentral:lncRNA from 1 species
ACACACAACAUGCCAGCUUCUCCACGCCUGGGAAUCUGUCUGUUGUCGCUACUUUAACAAUCCGUGUGCACAAAUCCCUUUGUCAUCAACCACUACGUUUCUGCGUGCAGCGUGAUUUUGCACCCGGUACUGUUGAUGUGGUGCGCUAUAAAAGAUCCGCCCCCGGUCUGUCAGCAACAACACUCGCAGCUCUGAACUUAAUCGAACGACAACUUCACUCGAAGAAACUCCAACAUCCACUGGAAAGAUGGACCCUUGCGAAUGCGCCAAGAGUAAGUGAUCUGUUUGAAUCUCUGUAUCUGAGAAUUUUGACCUUGUAUUUUGUUAAACGGUGUAUUUUUUUUAGCAGAGACUGAUCUGAUUUUUAUAUUUUAGCUGGAACCUGCAACUGCGGAGGAUCCUGCACCUGCACAAACUGUUCCUGCACUAAAUGCAAGAAAAGUAAGUCUGCUAACAACCUUUUUAGAGAUGACAAGCUUGAGGAAGGCGUUCACUGCUCACUGAAGCAAAAAUAAGCUUAAGACAAAGUGUAUCGAGGAUUCAGAACCUUUUUUUUGCUUUACCUCUCUGCUUAAAAUUCUCAAUUAUUUAUAUUAAGUUACCCCUAGUGAUGUCCUUUUUGAAAUUCUGUACCAAUCUUGAAUUCAUAGUGCUUAUUUAAACUAUUUUUUGUAAUUAUAGUCCAUGGCUCGUGGCUGCACAGGUGACUCUAAUUGGCCUAAUUGUCUGCAACGUGUUCAAGGAGGAGGAGAAGUCUUUAUCUCCUCCGCAGUUAACUAUUUCAUACAUUAACUAUGCAGCUUUGUCUCUGAAAUCCACCACCUCGACUGUUAGUAGGAUAUGAACCUGUCUUCAGCACUGAUGCUUGACUGUCCUCCAGUCACUAAUGGACUGUUUCUCCUCUUGCAGGCUGCUGCCCAUGCUGCCCAUCCGGCUGCAGCAAGUGCGCCUCUGGCUGCGUGUGCAAAGGGAAGACAUGUGACACCAGCUGCUGUCAGUGAGGAGUGUGAUCAUCGGUCUGUCUCUGCCCUUGAGAUGGCGCCUGUUUUUUUUGAUCAAGUCUAAAUUAAUGUAGGGACCAAUGUCUACUAAUAACAAUGCACAAGAUUUUGUACUUGAUAUUGAAAUAAACGCGUUUCCUUGAUGUGACUUUGACGUGUCCUGGUUUGACUUCAAAGCAUAACUGUA